CAACAAAUACACUCAAUAAGACAUUGAAGCACAGUGAAAUAAAAUUAUUAAAUGAUGAAACUCUCAAACUACAGUAAAAUAUUUGUGAGUAACUUGGAUAUAUUGCUUUAAUAUUAAAUCAUAUCCAUAGGUCAAUCACUAAUGAUAAUUCAACUUUAAAUGACAUGUUAAUUGAUAAAUAUACAUCACCAAUUGAUGCUGCUUUAACGUUAAGGCCGGAAAUGAGAGCUGCAGAAAAAAAGCAUUGAAAAUUCAUUAUAAAAUGUUUUUUAGAUUACAACAAGAAGUAAAACUAUUAUGAUUACUACAACAGUGUGUGUUUUCAUUGUAUUUGGCAUAACAUUCCGACAUCUAAAUUAUUCAUUCAACUUUAAUUCUAUAUUCUAAAAUAUAAUAUCCCACAAUAUUGAGUUUGUAUUAUUCAUAAUAUUGUUUAUAUUAUUCUAAAGAUUAAAGACUAUUAUUAUAGUAAUUAUUAUAAAUCUGUAAAUUUAAUUCCAUUUUAGUUUGUAUCAAAAGUCUAACUAUUUUAUUUUACAAUUUUUUAAGUUUCUGAGUAUGAAAGUAAAUUAUAAACUA